rnacentral:rRNA from 1 species
UACGUAGGUGGCAAGCGUUGUCCGGAUUUACUGGGCGUAAAGAGCGCGCAGGCGGUCGGAUCAGUCGAAUGUGAAAGCCCCCGGCUCAACUGGGGAGGGUCAUUCGAUACUGUCCGACUCGAAGGCAGGAGAGGGAAGCGGAAUUCCCGAUGUAGUGGUGAAAUGCGUAGAUAUCGGGAGGAACACCAGUGGCGAAGGCGGCUUUCUGGCCUGUUCUUGACGCUGAGGCGCGAAAGCGUGGGGAGCAAACAGG